rnacentral:rRNA from 1 species
GACGAACGCUGGCGGCGUGCUUAACACAUGCAAGUCGAACGAUGAAGCCGGAGCUUGCUCUGGUGAAUUAGUGGCGAACGGGUGAGUAACACGUGAGUAACCUGCCCUUGACUCUGGGAUAACUGCUAGAAAUGGUAGCUAAUACCGGAUACGACCCUCGGCGGCAUCGCCAGGGGGUGGAAAGAAUUUCGGUCAAGGAUGGACUCGCGGCCUAUCAGCUAGUUGGUGAGGUAACGGCUCACCAAGGCGACGACGGGUAGCCGGCCUGAGAGGGGAACCGGCCACCCUGGGACUGGGACACGGCCCAGACUCCGACGGGAGGCAGCAGUGGGGAAUAUUGCACAAUGGGCGCAAGCCUGAUGCAGCAACGCCGCGUGAGGGACGACGGCCUUCGGGUUGUAAACCUCUUUUAGUAGGGAAGAAGCGAAAGUGACGGUACCUGCAGAAAGAGCACCGGCUAACUACGUGCCAGCAGCCGCAGUAA